CAAAUUUUCAUCAUAAAGCUCGCAAGAGAUUGGCGGAUGCUUUCUCGGAUGCUAGAAAGAAGAACAAGAGGCCUGGCUGGUUACUUGAGAAUUUGUUGAAUGAUUUGCAAAGGUAAUGGCUUACCGCAGAGUUCUUAGAGAGGAGCGAAAAAGGAAAAAAAGCUCGCGCAUCCGAGAAGGGAGGCUCCUUGCACACUGGAGGUGCGAUCAGCCUAGGGACAAUAAAAAGAAGAUUGGAAAAGAAGUAUGGGUGUCCAAUGAGUCA